CAGCCGCCGCGGUAAUACCGGCGGCCCGAGUGGCGGUCACUAUUAUUGGGCUUAAAACGUCCGUAGCCGGGUUGGGAAGUCCUCCGGGAAAUCUGGCCGCUUAACGGUCAGAAUGCCGGAGGAUACUCCCAGCCUAGGGACCGGGAGAGGCCGAGGGUAUUCCCGGAGUAGGGGCGAAAUCCUAUAAUCCCAGGAGGACCACCAGUAGCGAAGGCGCCCGGCUAGCACGCGCCCGACGGUGAGGGACGAAAGCUGGGGGAGCAAAGGGGAUUAGAUACCCCCGUAGUCCCAGCUGUAAACGAUGCAGGCUAGGUGUUAGGCGGGCUUCGUGCCCGCCUAGUGCCGUAGGGAAGCCGUUAAGCCUGCCGCCUGGGGAGUACGGCCGCAAGGCUGAAACUUAAAGGAAUUGGCGGG
rnacentral:rRNA from 1 species